CUGACGGCACUUGUACUAAAGUUGUGACAAUAGAGACAACAUUAACAUGGCCUUUGCGCAAGGAUGUUUUGCAAAUUUGCUGAAGCCUUUCAACUGUGU
rnacentral:snRNA from 1 species